AUGAAACCAGAAUUAGCCAAGACUUACUCAACUUUAAAGAGGGAACCGGAGGAAUUGAUACAGAAAAAAAACGUGUUCAAUCCGUUGCGUGUUGCUCCUGUUGUUUCCAAUCGCUUGAAUUGUGUCGAAUAUCAAAUGACUCUGUGUUCAAACAUCGAUUGCAGAGAUGAUUCUGCACCUUUCCAUUUGAGGGCUUCCCCUGCAAAACCCGCGGUGCAACCACCUCGUGUUCACAGCAUCAACGGGGAUAUCAAGACCUGA